AUGGCUGCAAAUAUUUUGUCAGGGAAAAUUCCAUAUAACAUUGGAUAUACCCUUCCAAGCAUCCAAACUUUGAUUAUGCGAGCGAACAAAUUUCAUGGCCAAAUCCCCACUUCACUAGCCAACACAACGAUUCUUCGGGCAAUUGAUCUCGGUAGCAAUUCGUUCCAUGGUAUUGUGCCUUCUCUUGGGACUCUUCCCAAGUUAAUCUACCUGGAUCUCGGUGAAAAUCGUCUGGAAGCAGGAGAUUGGUCUUUCUUAACCUCGUUGACCAAUUGCACCCAGUUGGUGGAAUUAUCCUUAAAUGCAAAUAUCCUUCAAGGAGAUUUGCCGAGUUCCAUUGCAGGACUCUCGAAGAGCUUAGAGGUAUUGUUAUUAAGAGAAAAUAGAAUAUCAUGCACUAUACCAUGGGAGAUACAUCACCUCAGAAACAUCAAAACUCUUUACAUGGGAAAUUUUUUGCUUGGUGGAAGAAUCCCUGAAUCACUUGGAAAUCUUCGAAACUUGUUUGUCCUAAGCUUAUCCCAGAACAAACUUUCCGGAAGAAUUCCAUUGUCAAUUGGCAAUCUAAGCAUAUUGAGUGAGCUAUAUUUACAGGAAAAUAAUUUGAGUGGCCCAAUCCCAGGAGCUCUAGGAGACUGCAAAAAAUUGGUCAUGCCGAACCUCUCUUGCAAUACCUUUGAUGAGAGCAUACCAAAGGAGCUCUUUACUCUUUCCUCCCUUGCAGAAGGUUUGGACUUAUCUCAUAAUAAACUCUCAGGAGAAAUACCACUGCAGAUUGGUGGCUUGGCCAAUCUCGGCCCAUUGAAUAUAUCCAAUAACCAGUUGUCUGGACAAAUACCCUCUACUCUUGGUCAGUGCGUCCACUUGGAUUCGCUGCACAUGGAGAGGAACAAUUUUCAUGGGGGAAUCCCUCAAUAUUUCAUGAAUUUGAGAGGCGCCAUUGUGAUGGAUCUAUCGCAAAACAACUUGUCUGGUGAAAUCCCUGACUUCUUCGAGUCCUUUAGUUCUAUGAAGCUUCCAAACUUGUUGCUCAAUAACUUCCAGGGACUAGUGCCACCAGGUGGAAUGUUUCAGAAUGAAAGUGAGGUGUUCUUACAAGGAAACAAGAAGUUAUGUGCCAACACCCCAUUGCUAGAGUUGCCACUUUGCAAUGAAAUGAUAUCCAAAAAAAAUUGUACACCUCCAAGAUUCUGA
rnacentral:rRNA from 1 species